GACGAACCGUGCGAACGUUAUUCGGAAUUACUGGGCGUAAAGCGUGCGCAGGCGGUGAUGUAAGACAGAUGUGAAAUCCCCGGGCUCAACCUGGGAACUGCAUUUGUGACUGCAUCGCUGGAGUGCGGCAGAGGGGGAUGGAAUUCCGCGUGUAGCAGUGAAAUGCGUAGAUAUGCGGAGGAACACCGAUGGCGAAGGCAAUCCCCUGGGCCUGCACUGACGCUCAUGCACGAAAGCGUGGGGAGCAAACAGG
rnacentral:rRNA from 1 species